GUUAGGAAUAUUGGACAAUGGGCGAAAGCCUGAUCCAGCCAUGCCGCGUGAACGAUGAAGGCCUUCGGGUUGUAAAGUUCUUUAGCCGAUGAUUAUAAUGACUGUAGUCGGAAAAUAAGCCCCGGCUAACUUCGUGCCAGCAGCCGCGGUAAUACGAAGGGGGCGAGCGUUAUUCGGAAUCACUGGGCGUACAGCGUGCGUAGGCGGUUUUGUAAGUUAGGAGUGAAAGCCCAGGGCUCAACCUUGGAAUUGCUCUUAAAACUGCAAGGCUCGAAUCUCGGAGAGGAUAGCGGAAUUUCCAGUGUAGCAGUGAAAUGCGUAGAUAUUGGAAGGAACACCAGUGGCGUAAGCGGCUAUCUGGACGAGUAUUGACGCUGAGGCACGAAAGCGUGGGGAUCAAACAGGAUUAGAAACCCGAGUAGUCC
rnacentral:rRNA from 1 species